AUUGAACGCUGGCGGAAUGCUUUACACAUGCAAGUCGAACGGCAGCACGGGGCAACCUGGUGGCGAGUGGCGAACGGGUGAGUAAUAUAUCGGAACGUGCCCAAUCGUGGGGGAUAACGUAGCGAAAGUUACGCUAAUACCGCAUACGAUCUACGGAUGAAAGCGGGGGAUCGCAAGACCUCGCGCGAAUGGAGCGGCCGAUAUCAGAUUAGGUAGUUGGUGGGGUAAAGGCUUACCAAGCCCGCGAUCUGUAGCUGGUCUGAGAGGAUGAUCAGCCACACUGGGACUGAGACACGGCCCAGACUCCUACGGGAGGCAGCAGUGGGGAAUUUUGGACAAUGGGCGAAAGCCUGAUCCAGCCAUUCCGCGUGCAGGAUGAAGGCCCUCGGGUUGUAAACUGCUUUGUACAGAACGAAAAAGCUCUUUCUAAUACAGAGAGUCCAUGACGGUACUGUAAGAAUAAGCACCGGCUAACUACGUGCCAGCAGCCGCGGUAAU
rnacentral:rRNA from 1 species